rnacentral:rRNA from 1 species
UGGGGAAUUUUGGACAAUGGGGGAAACCCUGAUCCAGCCAUCCCGCGUGUGCGAUGAAGGCCUUCGGGUUGUAAAGCACUUUUGGCAGGAAAGAAACGUCAUGGGUUAAUACCCCGUGAAACUGACGGUACCUGCAGAAUAAGCACCGGCUAACUACGUGCCAGCAGCCGCGGUAAUACGUAGGGUGCAAGCGUUAAUCGGAAUUACUGGGCGUAAGCGUGCGCAGGCGGUUCGGAAAGAAAGAUGUGAAAUCCCAGAGCUCAACUUUGGAACUGCAUUUUUAACUACCGGGCUAGAGUGUGUCAGAGGGAGGUGGAAUUCCGCGUGUGGCAGUGAAAUGCGUAGAUAUGCGGAGGAACACCGAUGGCGAAGGCAGCCUCCUGGGAUAACACUGACGCUCAUGCACGAAAGCGUGGGGAGCAAACAGG